AUCAGUUUCUCAGUUACUGUAGUAACUUGUUUACUUGUGGGGUACCCCACAGUCACACACAUAAAUGAACGUGAAUGACUGAAAAGUAAGAGAUAAGUGUAAGAGGGACAAGUGGCUAGUUUUUACAGCUAAUAGGUAAAACAUAUCUUUAAAGCACAUUAAUAGUAAAAAUCCCUGGGUGCAGUGGCUCACACCUAUGAUACCAGCACUUUGGGAGGCCGACGCAGGUGGAUCACCUGAGGGCAGGAGUUCAAGACCAGCCUGGCCAACAUGGUGAAACUCCAUCUCUACUAAAAAUGCAAAAAUUAGUUGGGCAUAGUGGUGGGCACCUGUAAUCCCAGUUACUCAGGAGGCUGAGGUAGGAGAAUCGCUUGAACCCAGGAGGUGGAGGUUGCAGUGAGCUGAGCUCACUCCACUGCCCUGCAGCCUGGACAACAGAGCAAGACUCCAUCUCAAAAAAUAUAUGUAAUAAGUAAAAGUCUUAGGAAAACAGCCUGUGCACACCCAGCAAAAGUGUAGGGCCCACUGCAGACUGGCUCUAAUUAUGUGGGAAAGUCGUUUAAUCUUAGAGCCACAACGCUUUGAGAUUAAGUGAUUUGCUCAAAGGCUAAAUGGAAAUAGUACCACUUAUUUCAAAGUAGGGCUGGGAUUCAAAGGAGGUACAGCUCUUGAACUAGAGUUUUCUGUCUCCAUUGGUGAUAAGCCUUGUUUAGAGAUGACCAAAGACUGGCACUCUUUUUCAUAAAAGCAGCUAGUUUUAGCUUCCUCCCUCAAGCUCACCCUCCUGCAGUUUGAAGGAAGUUUCCAAAUAAUCUUAUUUAGAAAGAAUAGCAUUUACACUGGCCAGUUAGGAUAUCUUAGGACACACCAGAGUAGCAACAUGAAACACCCACUUCUGGGGGAAAAAAAAGUGUUAUAAUUUGAAAUAAAAAAAAAAUACAAGUCUUGGGAAAUUAGAGACCAAUGUGAUAGAAAUCUGGAGGGACUUUUCACAAAUGCCGACUUCUGGUUUGUGCCUUUCCCAUAUUUUAUUAAAUUCGUGUUUUAUUUUAAAAAAUUACAGCAACAUUAUCAAAGACAACAUAACGCUAUGCCAUCCCUUCCU
rnacentral:lncRNA from 10 species